UACGUAGGGUGCAAGCGUUGUCCGGAAUUAUUGGGCGUAAAGAGCGUGUAGGCGGCCCGAUUAGUCCGCUGUGAAAGUCCAGGGCUCAACCCUGGAAUGCCGGUGGAUACUGUCGGGCUAGAGUCCGGAAGGGGCGAGUGGAAUUCCGGGUGUAGUGGUGAAAUGCGUAGAGAUCCGGAGGAACACCAGUGGCGAAGGCGACACGCUGGGCCGUACCUGACACUGAUGCGCGACAGCAUGGGGAGCAAACAGG
rnacentral:rRNA from 1 species